UACAGAGGGUGCGAGCGUUGUCCGGAAUCACUGGGCGUAAAGGGCGCGUAGGUGGCGACCCAAGUCGAUGGUGAAAGCUCGCCGCUCAACGGCGAGUCGGCCACCGAUACUGGGUUGCUGGAGCACUGUAGAGGCUCAUGGAAUUCCGGGUGUAGCGGUGGAAUGCGUAGAUAUCUGGAGGAAUACCGGUGGCGAAGGCGGCAUCCUGGACCGAGAUUGACACUGAUGAGCGAAAGCUAGGGGAGCAAACGGG
rnacentral:rRNA from 1 species